UGUUAUUUUGGCAGAUUAGUGCGAUAAAUUUAGAAUUUAUUAAUGUAUAUUUUAUACAGAUAAUA
rnacentral:tRNA from 1 species